CAUCUUUUCAAAUUAGAGUUUUUUCCUGGUGUAUGCUCAGGAGUGGGGUUGCUGGAUCAUAUGGUAACUCUCUUUUUAGUUUUUAGGAACCUCCAUACUGUUCUCCAUAGGGGCUGUACCAGUUGACAUUCCCACCGACACUGCAAAAGGGUUCCCCUUUCU